rnacentral:rRNA from 1 species
GGGACACGUGGUAUCCUGUCUGAAUAUGGGGGGACCAUCCUCCAAGGCUAAAUACUCCUGACUGACCGAUAGUGAACCAGUACCGUGAGGGAAAGGCGAAAAGAACCCCGGCGAGGGGAGUGAAAAAGAACCUGAAACCGUGUACGUACAAGCAGUGGGAGCCUCUUAAUGGGGUGACUGCGUACCUUUUGUAUAAUGGGUCAGCGACUUAUAUUCUGUAGCAAGGUUAACCGAAUAGGGGAGCCGAAGGGAAACCGAGUCUUAACUGGGCGUUAAGUUGCAGGGUAUAGACCCGAAACCCGGUGAUCUAGCCAUGGGCAGGUUGAAGGUUGGGUAACACUAACUGGAGGACCGAACCGACUAAUGUUGAAAAAUUAGCGGAUGACUUGUGGCUGGGGGUGAAAGGCCAAUCAAACCGGGAGAUAGCUGGUUCUCCCCGAAAGCUAUUUAGGUAGCGCCUCGUGAAUUCAUCUCCGGGGGUAGAGCACUGUUUCGGCAAGGGGGUCAUCCCGACUUACCAACCCGAUGCAAACUGCGAAUACCGGAGAAUGUUAUCACGGGAGACACACGGCGGGUGCUAACGUCCGUCGUGAAGAGGGAAACAACCCAGACCGCCAGCUAAGGUCCCAAAGUCAUGGUUAAGUGGGAAACGAUGUGGGAAGGCCCAGACAGCCAGGAUGUUGGCUUAGAAGCAGCCAUCAUUUAAAGAAAGCGUAAUAGCUCACUGGUCGAGUCGGCCUGCGCGGAAGAUGUAACGGGGCUAAACCAUGCACCGAAGCUGCGGCAGCGACACUAUGUGUUGUUGGGUAGGGGAGCGUUCUGUAAGCCUGUGAAGGUGUACUGUGAGGUAUGCUGGAGGUAUCAGAAGUGCGAAUGCUGACAUAAGUAACGAUAAAGCGGGUGAAAAGCCCGCUCGCCGGAAGACCAAGGGUUCCUGUCCAACGUUAAUCGGGGCAGGGUGAGUCGACCCCUAAGGCGAGGCCGAAAGGCGUAGUCGAUGGGAAACAGGUUAAUAUUCCUGUACUUGGUGUUACUGCGAAGGGGGGACGGAGAAGGCUAUGUUGGCCGGGCGACGGUUGUCCCGGUUUAAGCGUGUAGGCUGGUUUUCCAGGCAAAUCCGGAAAAUCAAGGCUGAGGCGUGAUGACGAGGCACUACGGUGCUGAAGCGACAAAUGCCCUGCUUCCAGGAAAAGCCUCUAAGCAUCAGGUAACAUCAAAUCGUACCCCAAACCGACACAGGUGGUCAGGUAGAGAAUACCAAGGCGCUUGAGAGAACUCGGGUGAAGGAACUAGGCAAAAUGGUGCCGUAACUUCGGGAGAAGGCACGCUGAUAUGUAGGUGAAGCGACUUGCUCGUGGAGCUGAAAUCAGUCGAAGAUACCAGCUGGCUGCAACUGUUUAUUAAAAACACAGCACUGUGCAAACACGAAAGUGGACGUAUACGGUGUGACGCCUGCCCGGUGCCGGAAGGUUAAUUGAUGGGGUUAGCGGUAACGCGAAGCUCUUGAUCGAAGCCCCGGUAAACGGCGGCCGUAACUAUAACGGUCCUAAGGUAGCGAAAUUCCUUGUCGGGUAAGUUCCGACCUGCACGAAUGGCGUAAUGAUGGCCAGGCUGUCUCCACCCGAGACUCAGUGAAAUUGAACUCGCUGUGAAGAUGCAGUGUACCCGCGGCAAGACGGAAAGACCCCGUGAACCUUUAC